GUUUAUAUAGUUUAUAAAAAACAUUACAUUUUCAUUGUAAAAAUAAAAUAAUUCUUUUUUAUAAAUU
rnacentral:tRNA from 1 species